rnacentral:rRNA from 1 species
CACAUGUGACGUAGUUUGAUCCGUGGCUCAGAACGACGCUGGCGGCAUGCCUAACACAUGCAAGUCGAACGAGACUUCGGUCUAGUGGCGGACGGGUGAGUAACGCGUAGGAACCUGCCAAGCAGUGGGGAAUAACAGCUGGAAACGGCUGCUAAUACCGCAUACGCCCUUCGGGGGAAAGAUUUAUCGCUGUUUGAGGGUCCUGCGUUCGAUUAGCUAGUUGGUGAGGUAACGGCCCACCAAGGCGACGAUCGAUAGCUGGUCUGAGAGGAUGAUCAGCCACACUGGGACUGAGACACGGCCCAGACUCCUACGGGAGGCAGCAGGUGGGGAAUAUUGGACAAUGGGGGAAACCCUGAUCCAGCAAUGCCGCGUGCGUGAAGAAGGCCUUAGGGUUGUAAAGCGCUUUCACCUGUGAUGAUGAUGACAGUAGCAGGAGAAGAAGCCCCGGCUAACUCCGUG